rnacentral:rRNA from 1 species
GAGACCCACGCCAACAGUUGCCAGCAUGUCCUCCGGGAUGGUGGGGACACUGUUGGGACCGCCUCUGCUAAAGAGGAGGAAGGAAUGGGCAACGGUAGGUCAGCAUGCCCCGAAUUAUCCGGGCUACACGCGGGCUACAAUGGUCAGGACAAUGGGUAUCGACACCGAGAGGUGAAGGCAAUCUCUUAAACCUGUCCUUAGUUCGGAUUGUGGGCUGCAACUCACCCACAUGAAGCUGGAAUCCGUAGUAAUCGCGUCUCAAAAUGGCGCGGUGAAUAU